rnacentral:rRNA from 1 species
GAUGAACGCUGGCGGUGUGCCUAAUACAUGCAAGUCGAGCGAACAGACGAGGAGCUUACUCCUCUGACGUUAGCGGCGGACGGGUGAGUAACACGUGGAUAACCUACCUAUAAGACUGGGAUAACUUCGGGAACCCGGAGCUAAUACCGGAUAACAUGUUGAACCGCAUGGUUCAACAGUGCAAGACGGUCUUGCUGUCCCUUAUAGAUGGAUCCGCGUCGCAUUAGCUAGUUGGUAAGGUAACGGCUUACCAAGGCGACGAUGCGUAGCCGACCUGAGAGGGUGAUCGGCCACACUGGAACUGAGACACGGUCCAGACUCCUACGGGAGGCAGCAGUAGGGAAUCUUCCGCAAUGGGCGAAAGCCUGACGGAGCAACGCCGCGUGAGUGAAGAAGGUCUUCGGAUCGUAAAACUCUGUUAUUAGGGAAGAACAAAUGUGUAAGUAACUAUGCACGUCUUGACGGUACCUAAUCAGAAAGCCACGGCUAACUACGUG